rnacentral:rRNA from 1 species
UACGUAGGGUGCAAGCGUUAAUCGGAAUUACUGGGCGUAAAGCGUGCGCAGGCGGUUGUGCAAGACAGAUGUGAGAUCCCCGGGCUUAACCUGGGAAUUGCAUUUGUGACUGCAAGGCUGGAGUGCGGCAGAGGGGGAUGGAAUUCCGCGUGUAGCAGUGAAAUGCGUAGAUAUGCGGAGGAACACCGAUGGCGAAGGCAAUCCCCUGGGCCUGCACUGACGCUCAUGCACGAAAGCGUGGGGAGCAAACAGG